CAGCUAGGCUAUGGGGAGAAGAAUAUGGACCAUAGGUGGGAUGCCCUGAAACCUGAGGCCAGCCACACCUUACUAUGGUGGGAACAGUCCCACUGCCUCCCUUAUUCUUAAAAACAGGGUUAAUGAUGAUGACAGCAACAAUGCCAUGAUAACAGUAACUUCACAGACUUGUGGAGCAGGUAAAAUUCUUGUGAAGGUAAAUCAUGAAUAACAUCAUGAACAGAAAGAGGUAACAAACAGUACAAGAAAUGUAUCCA